rnacentral:rRNA from 1 species
UACGGGGGGGGGCAAGCGUUGUUCGGAAUUACUGGGCGUAAAGGGCUCGUAGGCGGCCAACUAAGUCAGACGUGAAAUCCCUCGGCUUAACCGGGGAACUGCGUCUGAUACUGGAUGGCUUGAGUGUAGGAGAGGGAUGCGGAAUUCCAGGUGUAGCGGUGAAAUGCGUAGAUAUCUGGAGGAACACCGGUGGCGAAGGCGGCAUCCUGGACUACUACUGACGCUGAGGUG